rnacentral:misc_RNA from 1 species
CCCAUUAUGGUAAAUCAGCCCGAGAACGCGUGAGAAAGAGAAAGGCAUGGAUAAGCUUACCUCCAUCAUCAGCGUCACGACCAGCGGCGGGCUGGACGGGGCGGAAGGGACGGACAGCCAGGAAAGCCUCUGCCCAUCGCUCACCUUCAAGCAGCGUGUGCAGGGCUGCGUCGGGUGCGCCGCGCUCGGCAUUCUAUUCUUCGUUCUCAGCUGGGUGACUGUGUUCCUUGGCGACUACGUCUUCUUCGGUGUCCUCUUUACCCUCGGCAGUCUCAUGUGCCUCGGCGGCACCCUCUUCCUUGCAGGGCCGGCCCGCCAGUUCAAGAGCAUGUUCAACGAGGGUCGCUGGAUCGCAUCGACGGUGUACAUCAUCACAAUGGUGCUCACCCUCCUCUGCGCCGUGCUCUUGCACAGCGGCCUCCUUACAAUUCUCAUGAGCAUCAUCCAGCUCUUGGCACUCGCGUGGUAUAUCCUCUCGUACAUCCCGUUCGCGCGCGAUAUUGUGAAGGGCGCCUUCUCUCGUCUCAUGAACCGCUGAGUUUUGCAGGGUGGCCUGGAGUAGGGCGGGAGAGCCCGAUCAAGCAGGAGAAGGACUCGGACGGCAUGGUGGAGCGUGAGAGAAGGCAGGCGGGCAGCCGGAUGCGACGCCACACGCGCUUCUGUUUUACCGGUGAAAGGGCUGACCGUCCUUGAAGCGCUGGCGGGCUCCUCCGCCCCACCCACUCACCUCCCCUCUACUCCGAUCCCGUGCCCAUCACUCGUUGCACCAUGUGUGUCCCCCCUCCCUCUCCUCGUCCCCUGCCGUGGUACUGUUAUGGACGCUCACACGCACCUGCAGAGAGAGCGUGAGAGGUCCAGGCGCGCGCGCAAGGAGGAGGAGGAUGAGGAGGAGGAGGGAGGGCGGCGCACGUGUGUGCAGUGGCCCCCUAGAUAAGCGUCCGGGCGGAUGCUGUACACGUCCUUGCUUUGAAUUUCGCUGUUGCUCUGUGGUUGCUUGUGUGUUUCAGUGGUGAUGCACCCUUACUGCUCUGCGCCACGCACCUUUUACUGUUAUCUUUCCUCUCUCUUUCUUCAUGCUUAUCGGGGCCUGCGGUGCCUCACCUCUCAAGCCACCGCGCUUGGCUGCGCGUGAGCACGAGUCGAGCGUGCACAUCUGC